rnacentral:rRNA from 1 species
CAUAGCGACUAUCGUGGCAUAUCAAUAAGCGGAGGAAAAGAAACUAACAAGGAUUCCCCUAGUAACGGCGAGUGAAGCGGGAAGAGCUCAAAUUUGAAAUCUUAAAGGGUUUCCCUUUACGAAUUGUAGUUUAAAGAAGUGUUUUCUGUUGGAGUUUCGGUAAAAGUUCUUUGGAAUAGGACAUCAUAGAGGGUGAGAAUCCCGUAUUUGACCGUUACUUUCCAGCUGUGUGAUACACUUUCAAAGAGUCGGAUUGUUUGGGAAUGCAGUCCAAAACGGGUGGUAAAUUUCAUCUAAAGCUAAAUAUUGGCGAGAGACCGAUAGCGAACAAGUACCGUGAGGGAAAGAUGAAAAGAACUUUGAAAAGAGAGUUAAACAGUACGUGAAAUUGUCAAAAGGGAAGCGUUUGACACCAGUGUUGUUUAGUUGAAAAUCAAUUCAAUAAUUUUUGAUUUUGAGUAGUAUUGACUUCAUCAGCUUGCUGCUUUCUUUUCGGAAAUUAUUGAAUGCACUUUUCAGUUAACAAGUCAACAUCAAUUUCUUUUGUUGUAAAAGGGUAAGAGGAAGGUGGCUUACGCUUCGGCGUAAGUGUUUAUAGCCUUUUACCUCUGCAAUCGGAGAGAUUGAGGACAGCAGCGUAGACUCUUCGGGGUUAGAUACACUUGUGCUAAGCUAUAGCCUUGUAUAGACAACUUGUUGACUAUGCUCAGUCAUGUAGCUUACUCGCAUGAUGCUAUUUUACCUACGCUUAGGAUGUUGACGAGACUGUCGAUCUC